rnacentral:misc_RNA from 1 species
AAAUUUAAUUAAAUUUCACAAAUAUUAUAUUUUAGAAUUUAACUAAAAUUUAAUUCCACAGAUUUUUGUUAGGUGGAAUUUAGCCAAAUUCCAUGGAAACCUCUUCUUACUCGUCAAUGCUUGCAUCUGCACAAGCCUAUCUCAGCCAAAAAGCAAACAACAGAAAACUUAUUUUCCAAUCUUCUCUCGCCAGACUCCUUUGCUCAUUAUCUUCUCGGCGCCAUCAACAGACCUUUCCCUUUCAAUCAAUCAGUCAAGUUGUCAAGCGAUCAAUCGGAUUGUUCUGUAUUCUCUCCACCUCUCUUCCCCAAAUCUACCAUGGCAACUACAGCUCCUCCUCCUCUCGAUAUCUGUACAGUCUUAAAUGAAUCAAAACGCAUCAUCAACGCCCACUCCCGCCAUUUCCUCGCUCUCUCUGUCUUCUUUCUUCUUCCUCUCUCCUUCUCUCUCACUGUUUACCCCACCCUCCAGAACCUCUUCGUAUCAUCCUCCACCCCCAACUCCAAAAUCUCCCUCUCUACCUCCAUCCUCCUUGAUCAAGACCCAUCUAAUCUUGUCACUGUCAAAAUCCUUGUUCUUUCUCUCCUUUUCUCUCUCUUUAUCUUUGUUUUUGCUCUUCUUGCCGUUGGUUCUAUCACCUACAGCGUUCUCCACGGCUUCUAUGGUAGACCCGUCAAGCUCGUAGCCUCGAUCAGAUCGGCUUUGAUUUCUUUCUUUCCCCUUUUAGUAACUACCAUUUUAGCUCAAAUCAUUGUGCUUAUGAUAUUUCUUGUGUCUGGGUUUUUCUUGUUUUUGGUUAUUAUGGGGAUUCAGCUUGCGGGGUUUCAAGUCGAGUUCUUUUCUCCUUAUUUUACCGGGUUCUGUGUAGUUGUUUCGAUUGUUUUGAUAUUGAUUUUAGUGUAUCUGCAACUUAAUUGGUAUCUAGUAGGUGUUCUUGUGGUAGUGGAAUCGAGUUGGGGUCUUGAGCCACUGAAGCGGAGUAGUUUUCUCAUAAAGGGAAUGAGAGGGGUGGCUUUCGCUUUAUUGUUGUUUUUUGGGUUUUUGGUGGGUAUUUUGUUAUUCAUUAGCUCUUUCUCAGGGAUCACACUGGGUAUUGGCACUAACGAUGGAUGGAAGAGCUGUGCAUUUGUUGUGCAAAUUGUAGUAACUUCAACACUGCUAAUGCUGCUACUCCUUUACCAUGUCGCUACAAAUACUGUUCUGUAUAUGUAUUGCAAGGCUGUACAUGGGGAGCUUGCUUGGGAAAUUGCUGAGGAAUUUGCAAGGGAGUAUAUCAGCUUGCCCUUUGAUGAGGGAAAAGUCCCUCACCUUGUAUCUGUUGCUUAUACUUGACAAAAGUAAAAAGGUCAGUGGUUUUGUAAUGCCUUACUCUCCAGGUUGUCUUAUUUUCUUGAUUUCAAUAUCUCAUAGUUGGUGUGUAAAAAAGAUCAGUUCCGUUAGAAUGGUGCAAAGAGUAUUAAACUUGUAAAUACCAUUAGCCAUUAUUUGAAAUAAAGUAUUUGGUCUUUUGUUGAUGUCUGUUGAUGCUUAUGACUGGAAAUUUUUUUUUCUGCUUUCUUUUUGCACAUAUGCGCUUGUUAUGAAGAAUUAAUCUCUAUUGACAUACCUAUUUGAAAUGAUAGCAUGUCAUGAUUUGAAGAAGACUUAGUAAUUACAGCAAUAUUUCCAUCAACAGCCAACACCAGAUGUUCACUUGCAAUUUGAAGCAUAUGCGUUGAUUCAACUUCCAUAGCAGGAGCAUAUCACACUUAAAAUUUUUGUUAAAUGAUCUGAGUUCAGCUUGCUAAUUGGGUUAAUUUUACAUUUCACUAGCUGCAGUGAUACAAAAUUGUAAGAGUAAUACUGGUGCUACAUUGCU